ACGCUCGACACCUACGGGAGACAGCAGUGGGGAAUAUUGCACAAUGGGGGAAACCCUGAUGCAGCGACGCCGCGUGGAGGAAGAAGGUCUUCGGAUUGUAAACUCCUGUUGUUGGGGAAAAAGAGGAUGGUACCCAACAAGGAAGUGACGGCUAACUACGUGCAAGCAGCCGCGGUAAUCUGAGCGGGCUGGCAAGGC
rnacentral:rRNA from 1 species